UGUCCUUGAAUCCUUCCUCCCGCAAAUCCGCACGAAUCCGAACCCCAGGCCCUCCGUUCCAUUUUCCCCCAAAUCCCACUCCGGGUAUUCCCGACCUCGGUUUCGUUUCCGGUGCGGCGAAUGGCGUGGGAGCUCCGAUCGAGGAGUCCUCGGGAGCUGUGGGAGGCGGCGGCUGUCUGGCCGGCGGCCGCGAGCGGACGAGCAGCUCUGGCUGCGAUCGAUCUCCUUCACCAGUGAAAACAUUUUGGUGAUCUGCGACCUCUCCUUUUACGUUUAGAUCAUAGCCGUAAGAGCUUCAUUUACCCUAUCCUUGAUUCUCCCGUAUUUUGCCUAGUUCUUCCUUGCAGUGAGCACAUGAUGCUGUGGAAAAUAAAGCCCUUCUGUUGCAGAAAGUACUUAAUUUAUUGUGUCGUUGUUUCCACAAGGACACUAUCAAAUAGUUGAAUUUUUUUUCACUUCUCCGUGCAAAUGAAUUGUUGCAGACUGUGAUUGGUCUGAAAGAACAGUAGGCUUUGGAUUUUUUUUAUUAUUAUUUUUUGCCAGGCAUCAAAUGGGAUGGUUUAGUUUAGACCAUGUAGCUAGGUUGAUUUGCCACAGUUGCAGCGAGCUGAUCAGUUCAGUAUGUUCUAGUAUCGGAAACUAGGCGCAUUCUUAAUCAAUUAUAUCAUGAAUUCAUCGGGGUUAUUAGAACCAAAUAGCUCCUCAUUUGUAUCAUCACUAUACAUGAGUAUUACCAAAUUUACAUGACAGUCAAAUUGUAAUUAAUAUUUUAUUUUCAGGUGAAUUUUUGUCCCUGUUUCUUUUGUAUGCCAGGCCGAUAGGGAGUAAAAACAAAUCCCUUUCUUUGUUUUUUAAUCUCUCCUUCCAGUAACAGGUUUACCCACAGUGGCCAUGUAAUUUCCAACCUGAACGACAUGACUAAUUUCCUUCACGUGCAACACAUAUUUUACUGUAUUUAGGUCUACUAAGAUUGCCCCAUCGACUACUGGCAAAAGGUUCACGCGUGCUGAGUAACCGUUAUAAAAGUUUGACGCAUUCCAAGGGGUGAUAUGGACAACUGAAGUUUUGUCAACAACAUCAAACCAUAUAUGGUGUACACAAUACUAUUACUCCUUUAUUCCCUCUCCCUCUCAAACCACAUACCGUAUACACAAUACUAUUACUUCUUUAUUCCUUCUCUCUCUCUCUAGUAUUUUCUAGUUGAAAAGGAUAUCGAUUGUUGUCCUCUUGUUGGUUUUAGAUUGUAUACAUUGGUUUCAUUUGAUUGGGAACAGCAAACAGUUUCUGACCACAUCUUGAAGAGAGAGAACUCUGUAGUCUGUACUGUCUCUCUUCAGUUUGCCCCAAUCAGAAAGACCACUUGUGACUUUCUGACUAAUAUAUCAACAUGUAACAUUGUUGCAUAGGGUCAUUAUCUCACUGGUACGAAGAUGCAAACUCCUCAUAUAGCUUGCUUGCUACAUGGAAAUGACAUUAAAAUUGGUUUCAAGAGCCCAUACACAGAUUUGGGAGUGUGACUACAUGUAAAUUAUGUAUUGAUAUGGAGUUUGUCUAGCGACUAGUAGUCGACAAACGAAGCAAGUUUAGCUAUAGAGCAUAGGGAUUUUGAAUAAAUUUUGCAGAGAACAGUCAUGGAUAAUGGCUUAUCAACUUUGAAGUAACAUGAAGUGCAAGCUUAUGGUUUCCAGACUCCAGAGAAUAGCAAGGAAGUUGAUAAAUUUUGGAUUUUGUUAUUCAAAAUUUCCAGAGGUUAUUUGUUGAUGGUUUCAGAGAAAUGCAAUAGUAUGUUUUCUUCAGGGCUUGGUGUGAAGAGUAGCCAGUUUGGGUCGACGGAUUUAUCACAACUAGAUGGUGCCCCGCACGUUGUUGCGGAAAUUUUUAGUUAGCAUACAUAAGUGAAAUUGAGUAGCAACGAAAGAGUAUUCAAAAUUGAAAAUAUAUAUGAAAUUGUAUGAUAUAUUCUUUGCUUAGUGAGGAUAGCUUGAUAAAAAAUAGCAUGCAUGUGCAAAAAAUAUGAUCUCCCCACUAAAUUGGUGUGAACAUACCAAUGACAUGCAUGAUGAUGUGGCAUGUUUGCAUAUUGAGAGAAAUCAAGUAGUAGGGUUUUCCUAUUUAGAUAUAGAAGAUUCAUAAACAGAAGGAAAAUAUUGGCUUUGUUUAAUUCUUAACCCCACAGGGAAAUCCAAGAAUCGAUGUUCCCUGACCAACACCCCAGAUUUUGUUUUCCCAGUCAACUGAUGGGCCUGGAACUAUCAUUCAAAAAAUAAAAAAGAUGGAACUCGAGCAAUGAAUCCAUAUCAAUUUUCCCAACAGGUGGAUAGUGCAACCUUUCUUAUUUUGAACAUACACGUCUAGAUUGUGCCAAAUGAGUUAGCAUCUUAAUCAAGCCCUUUUGCAGACAAUGUGGCAUGUUUAAUAGCCUCUUGAUCACCAUAUCAGGCGGGCCUAUAUGUUGAUAGCACAGUGGUGGGGAAUACAUUCAUUAAAUAAUUGGUUACAAUUUUUUUUGCCAAUAAAUGUAGACGUGUCUAUGAUUUGAAAGAUAUAAUAAGAUGAUGGUGCAGUUUUAUUUUGUUAUUUUUUGACCGAUUUUUUUUAUUGUAUAAGUGUACGUUGCCAUGUUAACUAAUCUCAUUUCUCAAACAGAAGCAUCCUGUAUUUGACUGACAUGUGGAUGAAGAUAUGCAGUGAACAAUGGUAUGCCAGAGGAUUAAUUCAGUGCUGUGAACUGGGUAACUGAAAAACUCCAGGUUUCCUUCAAAUUCUAGAUUAUAGUUGUACCAAGUUUCUGUGCUAAAUGCCCAUCUUAUGAAAGGAACUGUACAGUAUGUCCUUUGCAUAUUCUUCAAUAGUUCUGGUUGGUAGUCUACGAAUACUGGCAUACCUGUCAUAGCAGGUGCAGUUUCCAAUUUUAGGUGUAUUCCUUUCCAAUGAACUUCAUAGCUAUCUUCAACCUGUACAUCUCUCUCUACACUAUGCUAUCACCCAUACAGAUACUUUAAGCAUAUGAGAUCCAGCAAGUUGAAACAACUAGAUGGUGCCCCGCACGUUGUUGCGGAAAUUUUUAGUUAGCAUACAUGAGUGAAAUUGAGUAGCAACGAAAGAGUAUUCAAAAUUGAAAAUAUAUAUGAAAUUGUAUGAUAUAUUGUUUGCUUAGUAAGGAUAGCUUGAUAAAAAUUAGCAUGCAUGUGCAAAGAUUAUGAGUUCCUCAUUAAAUUGGUGUGAACAUACUAAUGACAUGCAUGAUGAUGUGUCAUGUUUGCAUGUUGAGAGAAAUCAAGUAAUGGGGUUCUCCCUACUUAGAUAUAGAAGAUUACUGGUAUAACCAUUGUCCCUGCAAUUUUUGCUACCUUAACAUGGUCUAUCAGUUAGAAAUAUCGCUGUGUAGUAAUCCAUCACGUUCUCGCAACAAUAAGGUGCUUUUGGGUCAAGUCCUCAGAUACAGAAGAGUUAGUUGGCUGCCUGAGCUGGUCCUUGCAGCACUGAUUUGGUUAGAAGGUGGGAGGUAAGCAACUAACUCUAUGUGAUGAUCAUGUAUUCAUGUUGCACACUAGUACUUCCAUGUGAACUAAGAUAUGAACAGGUUAAAGCUUUGUGUAAGGUGCCCUUUCUGUUCUUGACCACCUUUUUUGAACAAUUGAUGUCCCAAGCUCUUUAAUUUUGUGACAGCAACCAUAUAUACACAGUCGGUCCUGAUCUUGCUUUUGAACAGAUGAAGAUUUUUUUUCUGGGAAAUAUUUUCUUUUCACCCAAGUUAGUAGUGCUUUGGUUGCAGAUAAACUAGAUUUGUAUUUUUAUUUAUUUUUAUAUAAGCAUUUAAGUGGCACUCGCUAGUUUUAACUAGUCUCGUUGAACAAAUGGCUGGUAUUUUUACAUUUGUCUGUAGAGUAUCCUUUUAGCAGUAUCUAAUCAAGUCAUCUAUUUUCAUAUGUGCGCGAUGUUCCCUCUUUAUGUAUCACCUUUAAUCCGAGCCCAAAUCGGGACCAACAAGUACCUGUAGCACUUAAUGGGUGAUUAUUAGGCCGACAGGGAUAUUUGGAAUUCUAAAACCUCAUACUAGUAUCCGGAGCGGAAAGGGUAAUUUCUUGAAUUACUAAGCAAGUGAUUGUAUUUUGUCACAUAACUUUAUAUAUAGAGCUAUUUUAUGGUGAUUGUUGAGUAUUUCUGAAUACUUUUCAGUAUUUCCGUCGGAAUUAAUUAAUUAUGUCCGUCGAUGUGUACUCUUAAUACACCAAUUUUUUCCCCAAAAAAUGUCUAAUUGGCGUUCUGUUUUAGGCCCACCUUCUUUCAUCUCCGUUUCUUCUCCUUCUAGCUGCACACCAUCGAACUAUGAGACUAUCAGGCCAUGCAUGGGCACGGGAAAGCUUGAUGCCGCUCCGCCGGCCGCCGGCCGCCAACGCCCACUGGAGCAAUUUUUCCGUCAGACCACCAGCAUCGUCUUUUUGCAUAAGGCAUCCCAGCGAGUAUAAACGGAGAACAGAUAAUCAACAUGCGAAUCUAUUUCCAUCGAGUGGCACACAGGCAGCAGCAAGAGGCCGGCCUCCAUGAACAUCAUGUGCUGCUGUGCUGCCUAAGGUGCAAAUUAAUCAACGAUUUCCAUCUCGAUGAAUCCGUGGCUUCAGCCGACGGUUGUGCGGGAGUGGCUCUGAUAUGUCCAACCCUGACGGCGGGCAUUGCUCGUGGAGGAAGAGCUAAAAUUAUGUUACUGACAAAUCAAGGGGAAAUGGCAUCCGAUCGAGGCGGCGGCGCUGCAGCCGUACUCGGGGAAGAACGGCAGUGCGGUGCUUGGGAGACGGGUCGGAGUGGAUUUGUUCAUCCCUCAUCCCAAAGGCUCGCUUAUCUCUAGCGCAGUGCUGCAUCGGACACCUCCGAUCAAUGGUUCGGAGCUGACAACUGCUCUGAUUCACAUGGCCUUGGCCGGAGAAAGAACGGGAUUUGUUUCUCUAAUUAAUUUUGAUGGAAAAAGGAAGAGAUGAUGCCCAGAAAAUGUUUCUGACCGUGAGAUAUGUUACGCCUAGCAGGGGAGCACGGAUCGCAGCAUACGGGCGGAACAGGCGUCGCCGGGGUUAGCUGCUCAUUAUACGGAUUGCAUUCUAGUUAAAAAAUAAAUUGAUAUUCUGGUACUUUCCAGUACUUUGUAAUACUUUUUAUUUCUUCACCGUUGGAUCAACUAGGUUGGACGGUUACUAAAAUCCCCAACCACUGUAAAACUUGUAAUAUAUAUAUAUAGGUUAAUUUGAUGUUGUCAGCGGUUAAAUGGUUCAGUUUUUUGUCCAAGAAAAGUGAUAAAAUAGAACUUCUACAUAACUGACUGCGAAAAGUUUUCUCGAGUCUCUGGUAAUUCUUUCUGAAUUCAAAGGUCCAUGCAUGACAUUGUGUCCGCCCUUAAAUCCAUGAGUUCUUUCUGUUUGUCCUUAGAUCUCCCAUUCCCUUCUUCGUUCAUACAUCACCUGUCUAAUACAGAGCAAUUAAACAUUUGAGGAUGACAUUAUCCUUACAGGACUGUUAUGUAUGCCUUAUUUUCCUUGUGUAAUUGUACACUUGCUCAUGAGGGUACCUCUCACUCUCCUUUUUUAGGGUUCAACUUGGGGCCUAUCAAUGCCUUCACUCUGAAAGAAGAAGAUGGCAACUUAAAUUGUGUCUAUCCAUUGAUAAUGCAGUCCAGAGUCUGAAUUUGUACGCAGAGUCGCAGACGCAUGAAGACUACUUUUGAUGUUGGUGUUGGCAAACUACUACUCGAGGAGUCAAGGAACUAAAGUGUUGUUCUUCUGUGGAAUUCAUAUAAAAAAUGUUUCAUUGAAGGUUCAAUGGAGCUUCCCCCAUGUGCUCCACCGAGGGAUGGCAUAACAGGGACGUGUAACGGAGAGGGAUGUGACAGCCCAUGUCUUGAUCUUGCAAUUACCGAGCAUUAAUUUCCCUGGGCAUUAAUGGCUAUUCCGCCCGCGUAGUAUACUGCCUUUUACUUAAGUUUCGGACUCCCUCUGUUCCCGUAAUUCAGGUUUAAUUUCGA